AAAAAAUGCAAACCCUAGGUUUCCGUGUCCAACUUUGACGGUCCGUCUUACAGGGAAUUUUUUUUAAAUUCGUAUUUUCAUUGUUGUUAGAUGAUAAAACAUGAUUAAUAUUUUAUGCGUGACUUGUCUUUUUAAAUUUUUUCAUAAUUUUUUCAAAUAAGAUGGACGGUCAAACGUUGGACACGGAAAUUAGAGUUUGUCUUUUUU
rfam:Oryza sativa (indica cultivar-group) chromosome 11, whole genome shotgun sequence.